AUGACAACCUCGUCUCGAUCGUCUCAUCAUCCCUCCUGCAUGACGCGCCGCCUUCUGACACCAUGCAAGCGAGCCCUCGCGCGGCUCUUCCGCAUCCCGGCCUCCGCCGCCCUCUCUAUCAGGGCCUUCCGGUUCCGCAAUCUCCGCAAGUCCACCGCCAAGAUGAGCCCCCGCCACCGGCGCCGUGCCGGCCGAGGCUUCCGGUCGGUCCGCGCGGUGUUCUGGCCGUUAAUCCCUCCGUCUUCCACGCCGGCAACCUCGACAGAGAGCCAUACCACACGCAGGACGCCUGCGUAUGUGAAGAUGGUGGCGCGGCUGCGGUCGAGGACGACCGCGCGAAUUGGAGAGGAGAAAGAGGAGGCAUGCCGGAGUUUUGAGAGCUGCCUGAUGGAGAUUUUGACGGAGGAAGACAAAGCGCGGGACCUGCAGGACGUGGAGGAACUCCUACCGUGCUGGGAACGGCUCAAGUCGCCGGUGUUCGUUGAUCUGGUCUGCCGGUUCUACGGCGAUCUGUGCAAGGACUUGUUCUCCUCCGCCGCUUGGGGUGAGGACGGCGGAAACACUGACCGGGACGUGGGACCAGUUUCCAUGUCGGCUGCUUUACUAGUGUAA
rnacentral:rRNA from 1 species